GAGUUUGAUCGUGGCUCAGAACGAACGCUGGCGGCAUGCCUAACACAUGCAAGUCGAACGAGACCUUCGGGUCUAGUGGCGCACGGGUGCGUAACGCGUGGGAAUCUGCCCUUCGGUUCGGAACAACAGUUAGAAAUGACUGCUAAUACCGGAUAAUGACGUAAGCCCAAAGAUUUAUCGCCGAAGGAUGAGCCCGCGUAGGAUUAGCUUGUUGGUGGGGUAAUGGCCCACCAAGGCGACGAUCCUUAGCUGGUCUGAGAGGAUGAUCAGCCACACUGGGACUGAGACACGGCCCAGACUCCUACGGGAGGCAGCAGUGGGGAAUAUUGGACAAUGGGCGAAAGCCUGAUCCAGCAAUGCCGCGUGAGUGAUGAAGGCCUUAGGGUUGUAAAGCUCUUUUACCCGGGAUGAUAAUGACAGUACCGGGAGAAUAAGCUCCGGCUAACUCCGUGCCAGCCGCCGCAGUAAC
rnacentral:rRNA from 1 species